CUGAAAUUUAAAAAUUUGUUCAACAAAUGUAAUUUUUACAAAUAAAUGCAGUAUUUACAUAAGUAAUCGAUCUGAGUUAGUAGGCGUGAACAUUUUUAUUGCCUGUCAGUCAAUCUCUCCUCGCAUCUGAUUGGUGAUAAUAUUCAAAGUAAUUAGAAUCCAGCCUGUAACAUUAUGAAAAAAGAUAAAACGACAACCCACAAAACAUAUCUACAAAUGUAUUUAUCUUUGUGUUAAAACAUUUAACUUUUAACUUUAUUUGUGUUUGCAGUUGCGACAAAAGGUAUUUACUUCAAUGGAUCCAACUUUGUUGCACAAAGUGGAGCAUCUUAGAUCACCACCACAAGCUCACUCCAGCCCAGGAACUACCCCAGGGACAAUCAGUCUAGCCCACGGGACGAUGUUACCAGCACUCAACCUCAACAGCAGCUUGAUGAACAAGAUUCACAAGACGACAUCUUACAGUUCCCCACCGCCAGUAGCAAAUAAUCCGGACAAUAAUGUGUGCAAACUUAUCGACUACCGUGGAGCCAAGAUAGCCGCCUUUGUUGUGGAGGGUCGGGAACUUAUUUGUCUCCCUCAAGCUUUUGAACUGUUUCUGAAGCAUCUUGUUGGAGGACUUCACACUGUAUAUACCAAACUAAAGAGACUAGACAUAACGCCAGUAGUGUGUAAUGUUGAACAGGUCCGGAUUCUCCGGGGGCUGGGAGCUAUCCAGCCCGGGGUCAACAGAUGUAAACUCAUCUCUUGCAAAGAAUUUGAUGUUCUGUACGAAGACUGCACAAAUUCAAG
rnacentral:lncRNA from 1 species